GAUGAAGAACGCAGCGAAAUGCGAUAAGUAAUGUGAAUUGCAGAAUUCAGUGAAUCAUCGAAUCUUUGAACGCACAUUGCGCCCAUCAGUAUCCUGUUGGGCAUGCCUGUCCGAGCGUCAUUUCAACCCUCAGGGCCCGUUCGCGGGAACUGGUGUUGGGGAUCGGCCUCCCCCCGGAGGCCGGCCCCGAAAUGCAGUGGCGGCUCUACCGCGAUCUCCUCUGUGUAGUAGCGAUACCUCGCAGCUGGAUAGUGGUGGUGCCACGCCGUAAAAUCCCAACUUUACCAAGGUUGACCUCGGAUCAGGUAGGAAUACCCGCUGAACUUAAGCAUAUCAAUAAGCGGAGGA
rnacentral:misc_RNA from 1 species